rnacentral:rRNA from 1 species
GAUGAACGCUGGCGGCGUGCCUAAUACAUGCAAGUCGAGCGAACAGACGAGGAGCUUGCUCCUCUGACGUUAGCGGCGGACGGGUGAGUAACACGUGGAUAACCUACCUAUAAUACUGGGAUAACUUCGUGAAACCGGAGCUACUACCGGAUAAUAUAUUGAACCGCAUGGUUCAAUAGUGAAAGACGGUUUUGCUGUCACUUAUAGAUGGAUCCGCGCCGCAUUAGCUAGUUGGUAAGGUAACGGCUUACCAAGGCAACGAUGCGUAGCCGACCUGAGAGGGUGAUCGGCCACACUGGAACUGAGACACGGUCCAGACUCCUACGGGAGGCAGCAGUAGGGAAUCUUGCGCAAUGGGCGAAAGCCUGACGGAGCAACGCCGCGUGAGUGAUGAAGGUCUUCGGAUCGUAAAACUCUGUUAUUAGGGAAGAACAAAUGUGUAAGUAACUAUGCACGUCUUGACGGUACCUAAUCAGAAAGCCACGGCUAACUACGUG